AUCUCAAGUCAAGUCUGAAGGCUCCUAAUGGAGGAGCUGCUGAGCAGGGAUCCGGGACGCAGGAGGGACCUACCCAGGACCUCCGGAGGCAGCGAGAAAGCCGUGAGCUACGUGCAGGCUCGACAGAUUACUUUGGGAAGUCAUUGCUGGCAAAUCAAUUUGUGGAGCUGUUUUGGACAUUAUCCAGAUGUUAAUAGGAUCCAACUGAUAACUUCUGCUUGUGAGCAUUGGGCAGUAUGCUAGAGACGUGGAGAUGAGCUCAGAAUCAGGAUGUGAACUGAGAGUUAAGGUCCUAGGAUGUUGUGAAUGCUGGAGAAGCAUGGGAAACAUGGAAAGAGGCAUGCGCACCACUGAAGCAUGGCACUGUAACAUGUCAGAUUCAUAGACAACUGCAGUCACACAUGCAUGAAGAGGCUCAACUGGCCAGAUGCAGGUGUUGGGUAAGUGUAACUCCUAAGCUUUGCUGCAUUUAUCAGGUCUGAUUAAAAGAUAGUUUUCCAGAGCUAUGAGAAAAAAUGUUAAGAGAAUAAUGAAAAUCCACUGUGAGACAAUUGUGCGGAAACCCCAUGUAACAUACUGGAGAUAACAUGGUUGAAAUGGAGGGAGACGAUGCCCAGGGUAAUACCCUAAGCCAAUUUCUUUCAAUUUCAAUAUCAUACUUUAAUGAAGACAGUACUACUUUAAUGCUAAGUAACAGCUCCAGGCUAGACACAACAGACAGACGGGAGAGAUUUCCAAAC